UCUCUGUAAGUCGAGCCUCAAGCUGCAGGGAGGAGGGACACUCCCCGCCCGACACAGACCCAUUAAGAAUUGAUCCGCUCAGGAGGCAGCAUCACGUGGCCCGUUAACCCACACAACCAGAUGACCCCGGGGCUGAGGAGCGGAAGAGCCCACGUUUCCCUGGCAAAUUCUCAGUAUCCACCGCCACAGCGCUCGCUAACGUAAACUCUAUAGAUCUUCUGAAAUCCCUAAUUCCUUUCGGACCAGCAGAGCACUGAGGCGGAGAAUGGCUUCCAA